rnacentral:lncRNA from 1 species
AGGGUGCAUUUGGUUCACGCUACUAUAAUAGUAAUAGCAUCAAGUCAUUGGUGCUAUUAGGUUUUUGGCCCUUGGAUAAAGAGAUGUACAGUUAGGAUGAUAGUAGUCAAAUGGAUGGUUGGUGGAAUAGUAUGAUUUAAAGAAUAGAAAUGGUCAAAAGGGUAGAUCUAACAGCAAAAAAUUUAGUAGUACCAAGUGCUUGGUGCUAUUGAUAGCUAGUAGCCAGACUUGUG